UACGUAGGGUGCAAGCGUUGUCCGGAAUUAUUGGGCGUAAAGAGCUCGUAGGCGGUUCGUCGCGUCGGCUGUGAAAUCCCGGAGCUCAACUCCGGGUCUGCAGUCGAUACGGGCGGACUUGAGUACUGCAGGGGAGACUGGAAUUCCUGGUGUAGCGGUGAAAUGCGCAGAUAUCAGGAGGAACACCGAUGGCGAAGGCAGAUCUCUGGGCCGUAACUGACGCUGAGGAGCGAAAGCAUGGGGAGCGAACAGG
rnacentral:rRNA from 1 species